rnacentral:tRNA from 1 species
GGAGAUGUGGCGUAAUCGGUAGCCGCUACGCACUUAAAAUGCGUUGACCUUUGGUCGUGUGGGUUCGAGUCCCACCAUCUCUACCA